UAGCCAAUAAAAAUGAAAUAAUCAGAUUGCUUCACUUCAAAAAGAAACGAAAUUUUUGAGUAUCAUACAUUUAAUAAGCAUAAAAAUGAAAUUUAUCUAUCAAGCUCAAAAAUUGUCUAUUUCCACAAAUACAAGAGAAUAAAAUGAAAUUAAAGGGGGGAAAAACACAUGAAAGAAAGCAAAAAAGACUUCAUUAGACUGCAUCGAACUAUAAUACAAUCAUAACAAUAUCACUAAACUCAAACUAAAGCCUAAUCACAAAGUUCUCACAGAAGUCAAAAAAACACCGAUUAAUUCAGGAAACGAAAACUCACGAAGACUCUGGUUCCUCCACG
rnacentral:misc_RNA from 1 species